CUUUGGCUUUCUUUUGACCCACACUGGCUGUCAGGUAGCUGCUCUCCACAUUUAGGAAUUCCUGUCAGACGUGAAGACGUUUCCCGUAAAUCCAAAAGCUGUUUCAGUUUCCUUGUUACUGUCAAAUCUGAAGUAAUAACAGAGGAAAUUCCCACUUUGGAAAAGACAGCAAAACCUUCAGCACAAGUCUGUCAGUGUCUCGGCGGAGAGAAGGCGAGCGGACGGUUACGCACGGCGGUGUCGGCUGGUCACAGACGGAACAUUACGCUGCGUCAGCGUGGAAUAAACGACGCGUGGGUGUUUCAUCAUCUUCGACACUGUCCUCGGUAGAAAUCGGGCUGAGAAUUGCAUAAUUAAAGGAAUCCAUCAAAUUCUGACAGCUGUGCCAGGAGGGAGUGCAUCAUGGGAUAUGGAAGGUGGCAAAGGGUAACCCAUGACAACAACAACACCAAACACACAAAGGCUUUUCUGGUGCGCAGUGAUUCACUAAGCAGCUAUGUGUUGGGUGUUUUAAUGUCAGAUAUCACAAGAUGAAUUGUUUUGUUCAUUACUUUUCAUUCAGAUUGUUUGUUCAUGUUUUUUUUAAGCUAUGUUCUGUCAGGUAAACAUAUUUAAUAAUUUAAAAUAAUC